AGAUCUCUCACAUCCCUAAUAUCCAAAUCAGUAAUACAUGCGGCUUCGUGCGGGGAUAAACAUCAACCCGCUAGCCACAGGGGUAGAUUCAUUUUAGAGGUAGAAAGUUAUUAGUCUUGGAUCAAUGCUUACAAGACAGAGGAUAGCAGUAGCACAAGGUGGAGAAAAGAAAGUAUGCAGUUUAAGGCCAGUCAAAAGCAGUUACAAAAGAGAAGCAACUUUAACAUGAUGUCAUUAAACAUUUCUUCAAGAAUCAAGGUCAUACAAUAUACCUAAUUAAAGAAGCACUGGUUUUCACUUCUCUUCCCUGCUGACUUCAGAUCCGAAGGAUGAGGGAAGAAAAUGAAGAACUACAGUAAUGUUAUGACUUAAUUCUUCUGUAAUUGGAUGCUGUCCCAAGUUAAAGACAUUGUCAAGGCGCCUUUUCCGGAGGAUAACACUGAAACCAUGCAGAGAAGAGCAGAAUGUGAGCAGCAGAAGAAGAGAAGAAGAUUUGCAUUCAGUUUUUAGCACUACAACAGAGGAGAAGAUGAUUAGGCUUACAGAAGAAGUCCCAAAUACACGAACAUGGUUACAACAGUCCCAGCACUGAGAGCCUUUAGAACCUCACUUAUCCAUCUUCACCUUCUACAACGUGGCAUGGUUUCCCAUGUCACAGCAACGUAAGCAAUAGCUGUCAACGAAAAUGUCAUCCGCAGGACCCUGAUGGAAGCUGAACCAACUCCUCUCUUCAUAUUGGUUCCAUGCUUGAUGUAGGCAAGAAACCACAAGAUUUGUUGAUACGCUUGUGCCGAGGCCAGGUGGCACAAUUCCUGGCUGCUUGCAAAGUUGGAAGUCUAAGGGCAGUUUACACUGUUGCCCCUAUCAACCCUUUGGAGUUUUCAAGCAUCGGCAGUUGAGAAUGCAUUUCUAUGACCCCUGAGUAAGGUAUUGGUGAACCCUCAAGAACAAUCUUGUUAUCUCCAAGUAUCCUCUGCUACAAGCACAGUGCAAUGUAUUUCUGUGUUACCUAUGUGCCCCGUUGAUGUGGCAACAUGCAGAGCAGUUAAAUCAUCCUCAUCUUCUUAAAAUUCCUUUAGCCAGGUUGCUUCAUCAUGAGCUUCACCACAUCAAGAUACCCUUUCUCUGCAAGCUACGAAAAUGCACUUCCGUUAUCAUGGUUAAGCUUAGUAGCUGUCCACGGAUUAGUCUCCUAGAGCAGCAUUCCACUUCGGCUUUCCCUUAACAAUAAGCUUCAUGCAAUGGAAUCUCAAGCUUCUUGUUCACAGUUGCAACCAUUUCAGGAUGCAGCUCAAUGAUAUCCUUUACCAAUUGGUUGUGCCUGAACCUGGACGACAACUUCAACACCGUGUUCAGAAACCGCAUCUGAUAAAGCAAAUGCCCGAUUGAUGUCUUGUUCAACUUGGAAACUGAAAGAUUUGCUGAUAAGCUUGUGUGGAGGCUCUUGAUCCUAUUUGCUUCGGCUUCAAGGAAGUUGUUUUACGUAAUGACAUUGUGGUUAAAUGUUAUUGACAAAGAAAAAGGUGAUUAUACAGUUAGUGGCAUACAGCCAAACAACCUUCGCCAGGAGACAACACUCAAGGAAUUAGAGAUAACUGAAUCUCCUAUUCAAGAAGAACGAUACAAUAAGGAAAUUGGACUGGCCUGGCCCAAAAUCUCUCACAUCCCUAACAUCCAAAUUGAUUUUAUAUGUCGAAAUCUGCAGCAAUAACCAUCAACGCACAAGCCACAGGGGUAUAUUCAUUUCAGAGGCGGCACAGAUUUGUUAUUCCAACUGUCUUGACUGUUUUGUUGCUCACAAGCGAGAGGAUAGCACAAUGUAAAAAUAGAUUCAGACUAGUCAAAAGCUGUUUAAAAAAAAAGAGAAUAUUUUCCAUAAUUUGGGUAUUCCUUAUGAGGGAUCAAUCGUGUAGGUAGCUUCUUCAUUUGCUCGAAAAAAUCCUUUGAUUACUCAUUGAGGUGUGUUAAUGCUUAUAUGGAUAUUAAAAUACUUUUUGUUCCUUAUUAAGGAAACUUGGUGUACAUAAAGGAAACUUGGUGUACAUAUUUUUUUUUUGGUGCAUGUGAAGGAUCAAGGAAAUACAAUAUACCAGCUGAAAUAAUUGCUCAUUCUACACGUGUCUCACCUGUCUGAGUUCUCCACAUUACGGAAUGAGAAGGAUGGGAAGCAAAAGAAGAAUUACAAUCAUGUUACUACAAGAGAUAAACAGAAGAGUUUGAGCAGCUGAAGAAGAGAGGAACCACCUGCAAAGUCCUCUCUCCAUCCGCAAGCAAAGUCCUGCCGAGCCUCCUUGGAAAGGUCACGGAGAGUUUAAGGAAGGCAAUGGUGCAAAUUCCAAGCACUCGGAAAGGAGCUUUCAUUGAGAAGUUAUUCAAUCAAAAUAUUGGAGUGAGUUGAUCUUUCUGUCUUCGUAAUUUGGAGAGGGUUACUUAUUCAAACCAAGUAACUAAGUUUAGCAUUUUGCUCUGGCUUUAUUUCGAUUCACUUAAACUUUUUCAAUAGUGGUUAAAUCACUGCUGUAGCUAAAUUCUAGGCAAUAUUGAAGAACUGAAGAAUCUAAUUCUGAAAGGUUUUUCCUCGUAAAUAUUGGCAUAGCAGUUAGCAGAACUAUUUAAUUUGUUUGACACACGAUUUUCGGCCUUCUCCAAAUGAAAAGAAAAGAAAGACUUGACAUUAAUCUUUGUGGAUUUAAAAUCUUUCAAUAUGCAUGAUAUCCUAAUGAGGUGGAACUGUCAACAUCUGAGAUGGUGGAUUCUGAAUAGAUUGCUCCUGCAGCAUUAGUUCUGUCAUGUUGUGACUGAGCUUUACCUUGAAUGGUUGCAGUUGCUCUCCUCCUCUUACCUUUCUCUUUCCUCCACUUCAACUUCCUCAACCAAUGUCUUGUCAGCACAAGUCCAGAUACACGAACACGGUUCCUGCAGUCCCGACACUGAUAGCCAGUAGAACCUCAAACAUCCAUCCUGAUUCUAUACAAUGCGGCAUGGUCACUCAUGUUGCAGCAAUGUAAGCAAUAGCCAUGAAUGACACAGCCAC